GAUGAACGCUAGCGGCAGGCUUAACACAUGCAAGUCGAGGGGUAUAGUAGCAAUACUAGAGACCGGCGCACGGGUGCGUAACGCGUAUGCAAUCUACCUUUUGCAGAGGGAUAGCCCAGAGAAAUUUGGAUUAAUACCUCAUAGUAUAAUGAGUUGGCAUCAACUUAUUAUUAAAGUCACAACGGCAAAAGAUGAGCAUGCGUCCCAUUAGUUAGUUGGUAAGGUAACGGCUUACCAAGACUACGAUGGGUAGGGGUCCUGAGAGGGAGAUCCCCCACACUGGUACUGAGACACGGACCAGACUCCUACGGGAGGCAGCAGUGAGGAAUAUUGGACAAUGGGCGCAAGCCUGAUCCAGCCAUGCGCGUGCAGGAUGACGGUCCUAUGGAUUGUAAACUGCUUUUGCACAGGAAGAACAUCCCGACGUGUCGGGACUUGACGGUACUGUGAGAAUAAGGAUCGGCUAACUCCGUGCCAGCA
rnacentral:rRNA from 1 species